ACUAAAUUACUUAAAAACUUGAUAAAAUAGUCAAUUAUAAAAGAUAAAACUAUGGUUUAUAAAACAACUAAAUACUAAUUAAUUAUCAUAAAUACCUCUAGCUUUUGGGGUUCCAUUUCCAUAUACCUCAACCAUGUACUUUGCGAGGGUUUCUUGGAGGCGAGCCAAAAAUGAGAGAUUGAAUCUAAGCUGUUGAUAUAAAACCAUGAGAAAAAUCCAAUGGUGGAUAAGAAGUCCAAGUCAUCUGUCCAUGUCAAAAUGAUUUCCCUCUCAUACCAAACCCAACAAUUUGGCGCCAUUUUACAGCUGUCAUAACUGAAAUUUCCUUCUUGUCACAAGUUAAGUUUGAUUCAAGGGGGAGGAAGGAAUUGCACUGGACACAAGGUUGUUUUCAAAUCAAAUGAACCUUAGACAAUAUGACUAUCAGGAUUUAGUUAUAGCUAUACGAGCAUUUUAUUAGUGCAGGGUUUGUUAAGAAAAGAUGCCACGUGUGGCUAGUAGCGAGAAUAUAGGAAGUUAUCUUCAUAUAUAAGAUCUGUAACAGAAUUGGAGAAGGAUAAUAAUGAACAUAAUGAAUGAAUGUUGAGCUGAAUUCGUGGAAUUCUGCUUCUAUCUCUCUUCUUCUUCCAUUUGCUCACUAACCUGUAAACACCAUGAAUGGAACUUGGCUACCAACCAUUUCCAUCACCAAGGCACCUCUGGAUGUUAUCCAGAUUGGUUCCAGUCAAUCAGACACGCACAUUUCUCCUUUUAUUUUCAUUUUUAAAAUCUCUAAGCAGUUAGGAGGAGGAGGAGAAGUCGAGUCUACUGAUGGGUUUGCUACUACCACUGUUGCUUCACUUGUUCGUGCAAAAGAUGACAGUGGUUUUGUUAAAUGUGAAGAGUGCAAGAAGGAUAUGCCAGUGGCUUUAUAAGUUUCCAAGGCCGUAGUCUUGAUGCUAAAAUCAAGAUGAAUUCUGUGAUUUGGUUCGUAGGAAGACAGCAACCUUGACAGAGCCGAAAGCGAAGAAAGAGGAGAAGGGAAAGGAUCAAAAUGCACUGAAACGACCUCCCAUUACUUUCUUUCUCCUCAUGUAAUGCAAUGAAACGAAAAUGCACUGAAACGACCUCUCAUUACUUUCUUUCUCCUCAUGCAAUGCCCUUUGUUGCUUGUUUAUGUGGUGUAAUAUAGUGUGAUGAUAAUGUGUGAAUAUGGGGAGGGGGGUUUGUAUUGAUAUGUGUUGUUCUUUAAUUAGGGGUGAUCUUAGGAAAGAGUAUAAGGAAGGCAACCCGCACUCUAAGGAUGUUAAGAAGAUAAAUGAAACGUUGCAAGGGAAGGUGGUGAGAGAUGGAAAUAAAUGACCGAUGAAGAGAAGAAGCCUUAUAUGGAUAAGGCUGCUGAGCUUAAGGCAGGGUAUGCUGAAAAUAAGGAUGUGAGUUCAUAAUAUCUCCUCAAUUUAUUGAUUUAAUGAGAAUGUUGUCAUGAGAUUUAGAACCUUCAAGCUUAAUCCUUUAAUGAGUUUCGGCAUUGUGCCUGAAAUCUGAUACGUUUAAAAUCUCCAGAAAGUUGUUUGCCCUGUUGUUUAAAAUCCUUGAGAGAAACCCACUAAGCUGAUUUGAUUUGAGCUCCACUGAGGAUAUUACAUCUGGCAAUUUGAUCUUUAAAAUAUCAAACUUCAAUUGGUUAUGUGACAGCUUGAGCUUUUGCAAAUUAGACAUGUUGGUGAAGAAACCACUAAUGUUAUCCAUUAGAAAGUUAUCAGAUAGGUCUCAAGAGCUCAAAGAAUCUGGUCUUGUAAAUUUUGAAAGGUUUUCUUUGAGUUUACAGUUAGCUAGAUGAACACCUGAAAGUUCUUUAUCUUUGAUCCAAUCAAGAACUGACCCUAAACUGAGGUUGUUGUAAGUCAGGUCUUUUGAUAAUAGACGAGGAAGACCCCUACCUUGAAUAACUGGCAAAGGAUUUGAGAGUUUAUUUCUGGAUAAGUUAAGGUGCCACAGGUUUUGUAAGUUUGAAAUGGAUGAAAGAAUUUGACCUAUAAGACCAUUAGAACUCAAAGAAGUGUAAGAGAUUCUUGAUCUGCAGCUUCUCAACCCUUCUCCUCUCUCUUUUUCGAUUGGGUUUUGGGCUUGCUUUUGUGAGACAUCUCGUUGCUGGUGUGGCUUUGUUUUCUCUGAUUCGCAGGUCAUUCAUUCCUGGAUUGGUGCACUGUAAUGAUUGCCCAUAAAAAGGGCUUCAAUUUGGCAAGUUGUUCAUAUUAUAAUUUGUGUUGAGGGAAGUGUUGAUUGAGUGUCCUAUUCAUCUGGGACCGGUUUCCUAGGGCCUGGCCAUUCCAUCUUCUCUGUGGGUUGGUGGCUAGGUAUGGUCUUCAUGCAGCCAGGUUAACCAGAAGAUUUGGCAUCUUAUACGUUGGUUUUUUUGGUUUUGGGUUUUGUUUGCCAUGUGGGGCCUGUUCUCCUGCGUUUCCAGCUUUGUUGGGUGAGCUCAUGUGGUUUUAUUUUACUGGUAAGGCCAACCAUUGAGGUCCUUUUCAGCUCUUUUUUUUUUCCUUUAAAAAUUAGUGCAUUCAUGAGUUGUUUUAUGUUGUUUUAUGAUGUUGUUUCUUUGUGGAUGUUCUAGACUUCAAGUUUGUUGCUCUUGGUUGUGGCUGGCUGGGUGCUGAAAAAAUUUACUUCUUUAGUUGUUUUUGUGUUCAUAAGUAGCUUCAUGUUG